AAUGAACGCUGGCGGCGUGCCUAACACAUGCAAGUCGGAUGUGCCGCAAGGUGCAUGGCAGACGGGUGAGUAACGCGUGGGGAACCUACCUCUUCGUGGGGAAUAACGAUCCGAAAGGAUUGGUAAUACCGCAUGAGACCGACGGCUGGGAUGCUGUCGGUGAAAGCUGGGGACCGGAAACGGCCUGGCGCGAGGAGAGGGUCCUGCGUCUGAUUAGCUAGUUGGUGGGUAACGGCCUACCAAGGCAUCGAUCAGUAGCCGGCCUGAGAGGGUGAUCGGCCACACUGGAACUGAGACACGGUCCAGACUCCUACGGGAGGCAGCAGUGGGGAAUUUUGCGCAAUGGACGAAAGUCUGACGCAGCAACGCCGCGUGGGUGAUGAAGGUCUUCGGAUUGUAAAACCCUGUCGUCGGGGAC
rnacentral:rRNA from 1 species